rnacentral:rRNA from 1 species
CCUACGGGAGGCAGCAGUGGGGAAUUUUGGACAAUGGGCGCAAGCCUGAUCCAGCAAUGCCGCGUGAGUGAAGAAGGCCUUCGGGUUGUAAAGCUCUUUUGUCAGGGAAGAAACGGUGGGGGCUAAUAUCUCCUACUAAUGACGGUACCUGAAGAAUAAGCACCGGCUAACUACGUGCCAGCAGCCGCGGUAAUACGUAGGGUGCAAGCGUUAAUCGGAAUUACUGGGCGUAAAGCGUGCGCAGGCGGUUUUGUAAGUCUGUCGUGAAAGCCCCGGGCUCAACCUGGGAAUUGCGAUGGAGACUGCAAGGCUUGAAUCUGGCAGAGGGGGGUAGAAUUCCACGUGUAGCAGUGAAAUGCGUAGAGAUGUGGAGGAACACCGAUGGCGAAGGCAGCCCCCUGGGUCAAGAUUGACGCUCAUGCACGAAAGCGUGGGGAGCAAACAGGAUUAGAUACCCUGGUAGUCCACGCCCUAAACGAUGUCUACUAGUUGUCGGGUUUUAAUUAACUUGGUAACGCAGCUAACGCGUGAAGUAGACCGCCUGGGGAGUACGGUCGCAAGNUUAAAACUCAAAGGAAUUGAGGCNGAGAGNGCGACGACGACGACGAGGGAGGAGG